rnacentral:snRNA from 1 species
GAAGGUGAAAACUGUCUGACUGAGAUAUUUAGCAUCUCAUUAAUCACCAGGGUUGAUUCAGCUCAUCUAAAUGACUAGUCCUUUGGCCUCCCUUGACUUCUCUGGGAGUGUCCCUCCCAAAGAUUUUCAGAUGUCAUUCUUGAUAUAAGAUGACUUUCUCUAUAAAAGGUGGGCUUUUUUGAUCAAGGAAGCCUCUGCUUCUCACCUAGAAUUUUCAAGUGAGCCCAUAAGGUUAUUCUAUCUCUGUCACCUAGAAUCAAUUCAUGGUCAUAUCCAGAAUCAUUUUUUUCUUGUCACU